rnacentral:tRNA from 2 species
GCCUUGGUGGCGGAAUGGUAGACGCGUCGGACUUAAAAUCCGAUUAGGCUCACACCUAGUGCCGGUUCAAGUCCGGCCCAGGGCA